UACGAAGGGGGCUAGCGUUGCUCGGAAUCACUGGGCGUAAAGGGUGCGUAGGCGGGUCUUUAAAUCAGGGGUGAAAUCCUGGAGCUCAACUCCAGAACUGCCUUUGAUACUGAAGAUCUUGAGUUCGGGAGAGGUGAGUGGAACUGCGAGUGUAGAGGUGAAAUUCGUAGAUAUUCGCAAGAACACCAGUGGCGAAGGCGGCUCACUGGCCCGAUACUGACGCUGAGGCACGAAAGCGUGGGGAGCAAACAGGG
rnacentral:rRNA from 1 species